rnacentral:rRNA from 1 species
GAUCAAAUCAAGCGCGAUAAGGGCGUUUGGUGGAUGCCUUGGCAGCAAGAGGCGAUGAAGGACGUGAUACCCUGCGAUAAGCCAUGGGGAGCCGGGAAUAGGCUUUGAUCCAUGGAUCUCCGAAUGGGGAAACCCACCUGAUGCUUGGUUGUUGUUUGCUUUCAGGGCAAUCAACAAUCGGGCAAACCAGGUAUCUUGGACCUGAACACAUAGGGUUCAAGAAGCGAACCCGGGGAACUGAAACAUCUAAGUACCCGGAGGAAAGGAAAUCAAACCAGAGACUCCGUCAGUAGCGGCGAGCGAACGCGGACCAGCCGAGCCUUGAGGAUGACCAGAACAGACUGGAAAGUCUGGCCAGAGCGGGUGACAGCCCCGUAUGGGAAGUCUGACGGGACGUAUCAAGUAGGGCGGGACACGUGAAAUCCUGUCUGAAGAUCGGGGGACCACCCCCGAAGGCUAAGUACUCCUUGCUGACCGAUAGCGAACCAGUACCGUGAGGGAAAGGUGAAAAGCACCCCGACGAGGGGAGUGAAACAGUUUCUGAAACCGGACGCCUACAAGCAGUCGGAGGGGGCAUGACCCCUGACGGCGUACCUUUUGUAUAAUGGGUCAACGACUUGGUCUGUCUGGCAAGCUUAAGCCGUUAGGUGGAGGCGCAGCGAAAGCGAGUCUUAAAUGGGCGCAUGAGUCAGACGGAUCAGACCCGAAACCGAGUGAUCUAGGCAUGAGCAGGAUGAAGGUUGGGUAACACCAACUGGAGGUCCGAACCCACACCUGUUGAAAAAGGUCGGGAUGACUUGUGCCUAGGGGUGAAAGGCCAAUCAAACUCGGAGAUAGCUGGUUCUCCGCGAAAGCUAUUUAGGUAGCGCCUCGGACGUAUCCCUCGGGGGGUAGAGCACUGCAUGGAUGAUGGGGGCCCACAGCCUUACUGAGUCUAAGCAAACUCCGAAUACCCGAGAGGACUAUCCGGGAGACACACGGCGGGUGCUAACGUCCGUCGUGGAAAGGGAAACAACCCUGACCAACAGCUAAGGCCCCCAAUUCGUGGCUAAGUGGGAAAGCAUGUGAGACUUCCAAAACAACCAGGAGGUUGGCUUAGAAGCAGCCAUCCUUUAAAGAUAGCGUAACAGCUCACUGGUCUAAUCAAGAGGUCUUGCGGCGAAGAUGUAACGGGGCUCAAGCCACGAGCCGAAGCUUUGGAUGCACCCUUCGGGGUGCGUGGUAGCGGAGCGUUCCGUGAUAUGGAGCGCCGCCUCUUUCGCGUCUUCGGGCGUGACGGAGGCGAUGUUCCGACUGUGAAGCCGGGCCGUGAGGCAUCCGGUGGAGUGAUCGGAAGUGAGAAUGUUGACAUGAGUAGCGACAAAGGGGGUGAGAGACCCCCUCGCCGAAAGUCCAAGGGUUCCUGCUUAAAGCUAAUCUGAGCAGGGUGAGCCGGCCCCUAAGGCGAGGCCGAAAGGCGUAGUCGAUGGGAACCAGGUUAAUAGUCCUGGGCCAGGAGAUGGUGACGGAUCGCAGGUGUUGUGAGGUCUUAACGGAUUGACCUUGCAGCUGAGCGGUUCCUGGAAACAGCCCUCCACGAGACCGUACCCUAAACCGACACAGGUGGACUGGUAGAGAAUACCAAGGCGCUUGAGAGAACCACAUUUAAGGAACUCGGCAAAAUACCUCCGUAAGUUCGCGAGAAGGAGGCCCGGUUGGCAGGCAACUGUCGGCCGGGGGCACAAACCAGGGGGUGGCGACUGUUUACUAAAAACACAGGGCUCUGCGAAGUCGCAAGACGACGUAUAGGGUCUGACGCCUGCCCGGUGCCGGAAGGUUAAAAGGAGAGGUGCAAGCCUUGAAUUGAAGCCCCGGUAAACGGCGGCCGUAACUAUAACGGUCCUAAGGUAGCGAAAUUCCUUGUCGGGUAAGUUCCGACCUGCACGAAUGGCGUAACGACUUCCCCGCUGUCUCAAAUGUGGACUCAGCGAAAUUGAACUGUCUGUGAAGAUGCAGACUUCCCGCGGUUAGACGGAAAGACCCCAUGCACCUUUACUCCAACUUCGCACUGGCAUCAGGAUUGCGAUGUGCAGGAUAGGCGGUAGGCUUUGAAGCGGGGACGCCAGUUCCCGUGGAGCCGUCCUUGAGAUACCGCCCUUCGCUGUUCUGAUGUCUAACCGCGGCCCGUCAUCCGGGUCCGGGACCCUGCGUGGUGGGGAGUUUGACUGGGGCGGUCGCCUCCCAAACAGUAACGGAGGCGCGCGAAGGUUGGCUCAGAGCGGUCGGAAAUCGCUCGUUGAGUGCAAUGGCAAAAGCCAGCCUGACUGCAAGACUGACAAGUCGAGCAGAGACGAAAGUCGGCCAUAGUGAUCCGGUGGUCCCGAGUGGAAGGGCCAUCGCUCAACGGAUAAAAGGUACGCUGGGGAUAACAGGCUGAUGAUGCCCAAGAGUCCAUAUCGACGGCAUCGUUUGGCACCUCGAUGUCGGCUCAUCUCAUCCUGGGGCUGGAGCAGGUCCCAAGGGUAUGGCUGUUCGCCAUUUAAAGAGGUACGUGAGCUGGGUUUAGAACGUCGUGAGACAGUUCGGUCCCUAUCUGCCGUGGGUGUUGGAGACUUGAGAGGAGCUGCCCCUAGUACGAGAGGACCGGGGUGGACGGACCACUGGUGGACCUGUUGUCGUGCCAACGGCAGUGCAGGGUAGCUAUGUCCGGACAGGAUAAACGCUGAAGGCAUCUAAGCGUGAAGCCCCCCUCAAAACAAGGUCUCCCUUGAGAGCCGUGGAAGACCACCACGUCGAUAGGCCGGAGGUGUAAGCGUGGCAACACGUUCAGCUGACCGGUACUAAUGGCUCGAUAGGCUUGAUUUGAUCCGG